UAGGGAAUAUUGGACAAUGGGCGCAAGCCUGAUCCAGCCAUGCCGCGUGAGUGAAGAAGGCCCUCGGGUUGUAAAGCUCUUUUGUCCGGAAAGAAAAGCAUCGGGCUAAUACCCUGGUGUUCUGACGGUACCGGAAGAAUAAGCACCGGCUAACUUCGUGCCAGCAGCCGCGGUAAUACGAAGGGUGCAAGCGUUACUCGGAAUUACUGGGCGUAAAGCGUGCGUAGGUGGUUUGUUAAGUCUGAUGUGAAAGGCCCUGGGCUCAACCUGGGAAUGGCAUUGGAAACUGGCGGACUCGAGUGCGGUAGAGGGGUGUGGAAUUCCCGGUGUAGCAGUGAAAUGCGUAGAGAUCGGGAGGAACACCAGUGGCGAAGGCGACACCCUGGACCAGCACUGACACUGAGGCACGAAAGCGUGGGGAGCAAACAGGAUUNGAUACCCUGGUAGUCCACGCCCUAAA
rnacentral:rRNA from 1 species